rnacentral:lncRNA from 1 species
GAUCUGAGUUGCCAAUUUUACCAGUAAUCACAUAACCAUCAUCAAAUUCCGACUCCACAACAGCUGUAACUGCCUGGCCUACCUUACUAAAUGUAUCCUCAACUGGAUUAACAUGCUCUGGCACACUGGCAUUUCCAGUUCCAAGUAGGUUGUUAUGGGUUCUUGGGCGAACACUUGGUACAUGAUAUAAGCUUUCAUCUUUUUGUGGGUGACCUCGUUUUUGCUUCAGAGGGAUAAGGGCCGAGUCAAACGAGUUGUUCCCUGGGAUAGAUUCAGCCAUUGUAAGAAGAAUUAAACUCAAAACACCGUGGUCCCUUUCCUCUGCAGACAGAUAGGCAUUUAUCAGUAAGCAGAUACGAAAGACUAAACAAAUGUAACACAAGGGAUUCACUUGAUAUGUUAUUCUGCAGCUAAUCUAAAAAGAUGGUCAACACAAACUGAAUUAAAAUAAAUGCAUAUCGUACACAAUGGAAAAGGAAAUUCAUUCUAUUAAAAUUAAAAGGUGGAAUAGGAACUCUCUUAACAGGGGUUCUCUUUAGAAAGUUAUUAAAACUAAGCUCCGAAUUCAAGUUUGUGCAAAAGAAUAGCUACCAGAUACAUUUAUGACCUAAGAAAGAGCUGAGACCAACUCCCACGUAUCUGCUAAUAUGGAAAAUGGAACUACAUUUUCCAUUUCUGUGAUUUUCUUAACAGUUAACUUAUUGGUUUACUAAAAACAUUCUACAGAUUUUGGCUUGUCACAUUUAUGAUUCCGAUGCCCAACUUUGUAUAUUCUAUGAGGUACUCGGUUAUUCAGGUACUCAUGAAGUACCACAUAAUCUGGUAAAAGUGUGCAGAUUUCAUGCUACUCCUUUAUCAGUCCAGGUAACAGUGGGCAGAUUUUUGUAUCAGUAGAUUAUAACUAUAAUAUUUUGAGUGGUAAUGACUCCGCGACAGUAGUUUUCCUGACCUAAUACAUUUAUUCAGUCAAGAUGCAGCAAUAAAACCUAGAAUGCCCUAAUCAUAUUUUUCCCAAAUUAUGAUUAUGAACAAAAGCUAAAGGCAUAUAAUAUUCACGGUAAGCUAAUAUACAAUCUAUAGGCUGACAAACUCCGAGAGGCUUUACUUCUCCCAAUCUCACUACUGGCAGUAGGCAGAUACCAACUGUUCCUCAACUCUGUUUAUUUGUAGCAUUCCCCAUAACCGAAUUCAUUACAUAUAUAUAACCUACUAAUUCUGCUCAGAUAUUACUGUGAGGACAUAAGUCUUCCCUGUGCAAGUAAGAAGAACAUAUUAGCUGAGUACUAAUAAAGCAUCGAAUUGCAAAUCUUUUAACUUCAGUUAACAUAAAGGAGUAUCCACAUGAAAUAAUGAUGCAGAUCGAAGCAAAUAAAGGUUGCAAGACUCCAGGAAUUGCCUAUAUGCCUUUUAAAAUAUAUAUGUGGUUUGUUUUUUUUACAAUAAUAGUAUAUAUGCAACGUUAAAUUAAAUCGUCUUUUUAUAGUAUUAAAGAUUGCAGAUGGAAACUUCAAAGCAACUAGGUUUGCCAGAAUUUCACUACAUCUUAAGGGAGAAGAAUGUAAACUCGAUCUACUCUGCCAAGUUCGAAUAUAUCUAUCUUAUUAGUGCAAAAUUCCACAGAAACUAACAGAUCUAGGGUUUGCAAAUUGAGUAGCUUCAGAUAUAAAAACCUGUAAUAUAGAUGUACUUCCUAUAAAGUGAUAAUUCUGAGUGUUCCAUCACCCGAAACAGAAUUGCAGGUUUCCAUUUCUACAGCAUGUAAGUGUAACCAGUAAAAAGAGGUCCACAUAUCUGAACAUCUCCAUAAGUAUAAUGACUAAUUACUCUCAGAGGUAGAUUCUUAAUUUUUUUACACAUAUUUUUAAAAAUUUUGACCGUAUACUUGAAAUUAUUAAUUUUUUACAAAAACAUUGUGAAUAAAAAUAUUAAUGUCAUAUUUUUAUUCACAAAAAGCGACUUUUAAAAAUAAUAUUUAAAAGUGUGCUGUCAAAAUUCUAAAAUUACGUAAAAAGAUGGAGACAAAUAUAUUCUAAGGGAGGGAGUACCAUAUAGCAGUUAGCACACUAUUCGAGAAAAACUUAUUCACCCAUAUUGACAGUUUGUAAUUUUCACUGAAAAUUUAAAUUAGUCAUUUAUAUUUUUUAGGAUGCUUCGAAUUAUAUAAUACACAUAAACUUUAGUCCAAAUUUGAUGAAAUUGAACACAAAUAAUAGAGUGAAGUACUAAUUUACAAGGAUAGAGGUGCCAAAAUUACACUACUUGCGGAGUUGCGGUACACUUAUGAUCAACAACGGUCAAUUAUCAGCCAAUUAGAGCAAAUUACAUAUACGUUUAACAAUUAACGUAUCAAUAUAUGAAACAAAAGAAAACAUGACCAGAAAUUACGGUUGAAAAUCAAAUGAAUGAAAUGUAAAAUUGAAUAAAAAUAAGCAAGAACAUAUAAUUGCAGUGAAUUAUAUAAAUUAAUCAACGGGGAAUUAAAGAAUUGAACCUGUACGAAGAAGUAAGAGCAAAGCGUCAACUUGAACCCUAGAAUUUGGGGGAGAGAAAAUUACUGAUUUUAAUGGGAAAAAACUGGGACAGCCUGCCGAAUGUUUGAUGUGUGAUAUAUGUGUGAAUGUGUGUAAUUUUUGUAUGUGUGGGUUUAAACUUGAGAAACAUCUAUGAGGAUGAUAAAUUAGCUGGUAUAAUGCCAAACUGAAGUGGGCCAUGAGUACAUGACACUUGACUUAUGUGUACUCUGUGACAUCCUCGCCGGUGGAUAAACAUGUUAUAGCUGGCAUGCAUAGCUUUUAAAAGUAGACACAAUGUGUGACUCCACACAAACUUACAAAAAAGGAUGAAUACGGGUUGGGCGGCUCAGGUUAGCGUAGAUAAAAUGACCCAACACAAUUAGUGUGAUUCAUAAAAAUUUAACCAUUAGAGCAUCUCGAACACAGAUAAUCAUAACUGGUAGCUAAAAUUAUUAAUAUAAAUAAUUAGGUAAAGUUUGCUAUAUCUAAAAAUUUAUUAUUAUCAUAUUCUCACAACUAUAUUCUUAAAUAUUACUCCCUCUCAUUUCUUUACAGAUUUUUUGCACUGCUCGACACGCAUUUUAAGGCGCAUAUAAAACAUAAUUAUAUAAUUUUUUUCAAAAAACAAAAUUGUAUAAAAAUAUAAACAUCAAACUUUUAUUCAGAAGAAGAAUAAAGGUUCAAAAUAUUUUAUCAAACAACAUUUUAUCAUAGUAUUAGAAUAUGUGUCGAGCCCCGGUCUCCAAUAUAAACAAAUAAGGGGGACGAAGGAAAUAGUUAUUUAUUGUGAAUAUAUUUUAUAAUUUAAUUCUAAAUUCAAUAUAUAUAAUUUUUUUAUACAAAUAUAUAUGCUAUUCUAAUUAAUUAAAAUAAUUUUAAUAUUUAAAAAUAUGUUAUUUUACUCUUCUAAAAUUCUAAUGGUGCUAUUUUUAUAUAGUAAUUAUAUAUUGUUAAUAAAACUCAAAAUUUUUUUUCUAAAUCCUAUUAAAGAAAGUUUUUAUACAAGGACAUAUGUUAUUUUAAUUAAUUAAAAUAAUCUUAUAAACCAAACCAAACCAAACAUACUCAGUAUAUCCCGCUUAGAGCAGGGUCUGAGGAGGGUAAGAUGUACGCCUUGCCCCAGAUGCUGUUUCCGUGAAGACCCCCGGCUUAGUGCACAAUAGAUGUGUGAUAUAAUAUUAAUAUACCUUAGCCCAUGGCCUUUUUCACAUGGAAUUACCUAAACCGUUCAUGUUUGUCGAUGAUGAGUGAUAAUGAUCUGAAACGGGGACAAUGAUCUGAAACGGAGAUAUCAAACUCGAUAAGAACUGCCACUAUUUGCACACUUUUUUUGAAUUAACUUGAUUUCUUGUUGUGUAAUCCAUCUAUGUCGAUUCUCCUUCAUCAAAUCCUUCAUCGAAACAACAUCUGUGAUGAUCCAUUAGUACGCACUAAACCUUAUCAAAUCCUUCGACGAACCAACAUCCGUGAUGAUCCAUUAGUACCAAAUCCUUCGACAAACCAUACCAUUAUUAAAUCAUAUCAUUAUUAAAUUUCAUUUCAUUCCCAAAUUUUGUAUAAAACUUUAAUAGCAAGAUAAUAUUUUUCUAAAAUCAUACGUGAUUAUAUAUCCAACUCAUGUGUUUAACACAGUUUAUUUUUGUUUUAAAAUUAGAAAUUUAUAUUUUUAGGCAAAAAAACAUAUAAAUUAUUUUUACAUAAAACAUAUAUUUUUCAUAUAACUCAAAAUGCUGUAAAUAUUAACUUCCCAUUUAUUACAAUUUCGAUAGUGAUUUCAAAUUAUAUAGGAAAUAACUUCCCAUCAUAACCAAAUGAGCACUUAGUUUAACAUAUGCUACCGGAGUGUUUAGGUUUUGGUCUUGUACUCGUGCCGACCUGAAAUAUGACAUGGAUGUGUGAACGGAAUCUGAAUCAAAUCUUUUCAUUCCUAUUGAAACCUGAUACUUCUUCUUAUAACAACUUAAGUUCAAAAUGAUAUAAAAGGCGAUAAAACAACUUGUUCAUUAAGGUUCGUAUAUAAAUGACAUAUUUUAAUUUUAUUCUUUGACUUUAUGACACAGAUAUGACACAUAAUCAAGUACAUAAGAUAAUCCGCAGAAGACAAUAGUCAUACAUAAUUUUUUUAAGAUGUAAAAUGAACAAAGAACAUAAAUUUUUUCUCUUAUGUUAAUCUUAUAUGCAGAUCCCCCCACCGUGUCCGAUUUGGUACUCAGCAUCCAAGAAUCCUAUCCUAAUUUUCAAAGGACCAGAUACUCGGAACCGCACCCGCGUCGCACAGCUGUACCCCAGUCCGGAUAACUCAAAACUCAAGUAAGCCUUGGUCAGAGGGACCAUCUUCACUCUUCACAUCUUUUGGUAUUUCAUGGGAGAUUGUUUGGGACAGAGAGAUGUGGUGCUGGUAAUUUCAGUUUAUAUGUAGUUGGCGGUGUAACUUUUUGCAUGUUCUUGCCUUUCGGAGCAGCCAUAAGAGCAUCUUGAUCUGCAACUGCAUUACCUGGUUCAAGAACAACAGGAACCACAGUGCCUCUUGCUUCAACUGAAGGAGCUGUCACAGUUGCAGUUAUGUCUCUUCUGGUCNGGUGGAUAAACAUGUUAUAGCUGGCAUGCAUAGCUUUUAAAAGUAGACACAAUGUGUGACUCCACACAAACUUACAAAAAAGGAUGAAUACGGGUUGGGCGGCUCAGGUUAGCGUAGAUAAAAUGACCCAACACAAUUAGUGUGAUUCAUAAAAAUUUAACCAUUAGAGCAUCUCGAACACAGAUAAUCAUAACUGGUAGCUAAAAUUAUUAAUAUAAAUAAUUAGGUAAAGUUUGCUAUAUCUAAAAAUUUAUUAUUAUCAUAUUCUCACAACUAUAUUCUUAAAUAUUACUCCCUCUCAUUUCUUUACAGAUUUUUUGCACUGCUCGACACGCAUUUUAAGGCGCAUAUAAAACAUAAUUAUAUAAUUUUUUUCAAAAAACAAAAUUGUAUAAAAAUAUAAACAUCAAACUUUUAUUCAGAAGAAGAAUAAAGGUUCAAAAUAUUUUAUCAAACAACAUUUUAUCAUAGUAUUAGAAUAUGUGUCGAGCCCCGGUCUCCAAUAUAAACAAAUAAGGGGGACGAAGGAAAUAGUUAUUUAUUGUGAAUAUAUUUUAUAAUUUAAUUCUAAAUUCAAUAUAUAUAAUUUUUUUAUACAAAUAUAUAUGCUAUUCUAAUUAAUUAAAAUAAUUUUAAUAUUUAAAAAUAUGUUAUUUUACUCUUCUAAAAUUCUAAUGGUGCUAUUUUUAUAUAGUAAUUAUAUAUUGUUAAUAAAACUCAAAAUUUUUUUUCUAAAUCCUAUUAAAGAAAGUUUUUAUACAAGGACAUAUGUUAUUUUAAUUAAUUAAAAUAAUCUUAUAAACCAAACCAAACCAAACAUACUCAGUAUAUCCCGCUUAGAGCAGGGUCUGAGGAGGGUAAGAUGUACGCCUUGCCCCAGAUGCUGUUUCCGUGAAGACCCCCGGCUUAGUGCACAAUAGAUGUGUGAUAUAAUAUUAAUAUACCUUAGCCCAUGGCCUUUUUCACAUGGAAUUACCUAAACCGUUCAUGUUUGUCGAUGAUGAGUGAUAAUGAUCUGAAACGGGGACAAUGAUCUGAAACGGAGAUAUCAAACUCGAUAAGAACUGCCACUAUUUGCACACUUUUUUUGAAUUAACUUGAUUUCUUGUUGUGUAAUCCAUCUAUGUCGAUUCUCCUUCAUCAAAUCCUUCAUCGAAACAACAUCUGUGAUGAUCCAUUAGUACGCACUAAACCUUAUCAAAUCCUUCGACGAACCAACAUCCGUGAUGAUCCAUUAGUACCAAAUCCUUCGACAAACCAUACCAUUAUUAAAUCAUAUCAUUAUUAAAUUUCAUUUCAUUCCCAAAUUUUGUAUAAAACUUUAAUAGCAAGAUAAUAUUUUUCUAAAAUCAUACGUGAUUAUAUAUCCAACUCAUGUGUUUAACACAGUUUAUUUUUGUUUUAAAAUUAGAAAUUUAUAUUUUUAGGCAAAAAAACAUAUAAAUUAUUUUUACAUAAAACAUAUAUUUUUCAUAUAACUCAAAAUGCUGUAAAUAUUAACUUCCCAUUUAUUACAAUUUCGAUAGUGAUUUCAAAUUAUAUAGGAAAUAACUUCCCAUCAUAACCAAAUGAGCACUUAGUUUAACAUAUGCUACCGGAGUGUUUAGGUUUUGGUCUUGUACUCGUGCCGACCUGAAAUAUGACAUGGAUGUGUGAACGGAAUCUGAAUCAAAUCUUUUCAUUCCUAUUGAAACCUGAUACUUCUUCUUAUAACAACUUAAGUUCAAAAUGAUAUAAAAGGCGAUAAAACAACUUGUUCAUUAAGGUUCGUAUAUAAAUGACAUAUUUUAAUUUUAUUCUUUGACUUUAUGACACAGAUAUGACACAUAAUCAAGUACAUAAGAUAAUCCGCAGAAGACAAUAGUCAUACAUAAUUUUUUUAAGAUGUAAAAUGAACAAAGAACAUAAAUUUUUUCUCUUAUGUUAAUCUUAUAUGCAGAUCCCCCCACCGUGUCCGAUUUGGUACUCAGCAUCCAAGAAUCCUAUCCUAAUUUUCAAAGGACCAGAUACUCGGAACCGCACCCGCGUCGCACAGCUGUACCCCAGUCCGGAUAACUCAAAACUCAAGUAAGCCUUGGUCAGAGGGACCAUCUUCACUCUUCACAUCUUUUGGUAUUUCAUGGGAGAUUGUUUGGGACAGAGAGAUGUGGUGCUGGUAAUUUCAGUUUAUAUGUAGUUGGCGGUGUAACUUUUUGCAUGUUCUUGCCUUUCGGAGCAGCCAUAAGAGCAUCUUGAUCUGCAACUGCAUUACCUGGUUCAAGAACAACAGGAACCACAGUGCCUCUUGCUUCAACUGAAGGAGCUGUCACAGUUGCAGUUAUGUCUCUUCUGGUCAACAAAUUAGCAGCCAGAGGAUGUGCAGUGAGCCAUUUCCUAGAUAAUUAGCUCUCCGCUGAUGGCUCUCUUUAGGUCUCCUCUGACGAGCAUCACUCCUCUUUUGGGUUGCAUGAGGAGUAUCUUUUCCUCUGAUCAUCGAAAGAUGCGGGGCCACAUCAUUUUCUGCCGUCACAGGAGCAUAAUGUCCAGGCUUGAAAAGAACACCCCUUAGAUCUGAGUUACCAAUUUUACCAGUAAUCACAUAACCAUCAUCAAAUUCCGACUCCACAACAGCUGUAACUGCCUGGCCUACCUUACUAAAUGUAUCCUCAACUGGAUUAACAUGCUCUGGCACACUGGCAUUUCCGGUUCCAAGUAGGUUGUUAUGGGUUCUUGGGCGAACACUUGGUACAUGAUAUAAGCUUUCAUCUUUUUGUGGGUGACCUCGUUUUUGCUUCAGAGGGAUAAGGGCCGAGUCAAACGAGUUGUUCCCUUGGAUAGAUUCAGCCAUUGUAAGAAGAAUUAAAC